AUAUACAUCUCCCAAACUAACCAGAUCAAAAGGGAAGUAACAUAUCAUCAAUAGCUGAACAUGAACAUCAUAACAGGAAUCCUGCUGCUGCAGAUGCUGACUGGAUUGCAGAGUCAGAUAUUGUCUGAGUCUGAACCAGCUGUAGUAAAACCUGGUCAAUCUCAUAAACUGACCUGCACUGCUUCUGGGCUAGACUUUGAUGGCUACUGGAUGGCUUGGAUCAGGCAGGAUCCUGGGAAAGGGCUGGAAUGGUUGUCAACUAUCUCACCUGGUGGUGUCACUACAUAUUAUUCAAGCUCUGCACAGGGAAGAUUCACCAUCUCCAGAGACAACAAUGUGGACCAGCUGUAUCUGCAGAUGAACAGCCUGAAGACUGAGGACACUGCUGUGUAUUACUGUGCCCGAGACCCACAGUGACAGAAGAGUCUGGAGAGAUGAACAAAAACUCACAGUGAAAAGAAGGGCACUGAGCUGUGACUGUCGGUUCAAAAACACAGUUUUACAGUCUUAUGCCUUGUUUGCAGUCACAAAAGAGGCUGCCUUGCAGUACAAGAAAUAACAGAGAUUUUAUUUUUGUUUUAUUUAAAAUAAAUGAUUAAAAUGCACAUGGUAUAUAUAAAGCAA